rnacentral:lncRNA from 1 species
AUUGCUUUUGGUUUGUAGCCAUGUUUUCUCUCUCCUUCUUCCCCUAUUUCUCUGUUUCGCCCUUCUCCCUCCUCUUCCUAACAGUCAUUUCUCUUCUUGUUCUUCUUGCUGUGGUUAAUUCUUAUUCUGACUUAUUGGUCCUACAUCAACGUGGUAUCAGAGCUAAACUUGAGUAAUUUUUCUUCAUCCAUUUCAUACAUACUCCAUACACACAACCAGUAAACCCAUCACCUGCUGUUGCAAUUCCCUUUUCCCGGUUCACCAGUGCUGCUCAAGAACCACUAGAUACAAUUCCCACCAAAUAAUUCCAUAACCCACAAAGCAAUCAGUCGCCACUGCCUCCCUCCUCUCUUACAAUAACCAUAACUUCAUCAUUGAAAACCGCCCACAUACAAAACCAACUACCGCUGUUGGUUACAAAUGCUAUGCAAUUCAGUCAACAACCGCUGUUGGUUACAAAUGUUCACCGCAACGUUACAUACACCACACCAAUUCCCACUUGACUGAACUCACAACUAGCCAAACCUAUUAACCUCUGCAGCUUAUACAUGUAUUCCCACACACACCAAAGUGACAGUCGCAGUCAUUAUCACCGUCGUCUCCCUGCUUCCCAGUAGCCAUUGUCGUUCCGUUCGCCACCAGCCCUAAAUCUCACUGAUUAACCCAAUCCCACUUCCAGUAAAUUCGGUCCUCCACGCUGGCGACCCACCCAGCCGCAAUGCCCAACCAUACCCUCCCAAAAAGUUGCCGUCAUCUCAGACGCAGGCGACUUCCAUCAAUUACUGACUUCAACAUCCAAUCCACCACCCGCCAGCUACUUCUAACUGAUGACCCAAGCAAUUAACUUCCUCUAAGUCUCUACCACUAUCACAAUCGUUGUCAAUCGAGCCUCCCAACUCUGAUCGACGCUGUUUCUUCACAGAAAAUCGACAGCCCACAAUAUACCUCGUAGUGUUGGGCCUACAUUAUUAAUAUAUGCACUUAGGCUCAGUUUUGUG